AACGCACAUUGCGCCCAUUAGUAUUCUAGUGGGCAUGCCUGUUCGAGCGUCAUUAAGUCCACUUAAGCCUAGCUUAGUGUUGGGAGACUGCUCCAGUGGUGCUACCCUGUAGCUACCCUGCAGCUCCUUAAAGACAGCGGCGGAGUCGUGUUAUCCUCUGAGCUUAGUAAAUCAUUCUAGCUUUCGAGAGUAUCACUUCACCUGCCGUUAAACCACCUAAUUUUUAUGGUUGACCUCGGAUCAGGUAGGAAUACCCGCUGAACUUAA
rnacentral:misc_RNA from 1 species